UACGUAGGGCGCAAGCGUUGUCCGGAAUCAUUGGGCGUAAAGAGCUCGUAGGUGGUCUGUUACUGUCUGCUGUGAAAUCCUGAGGGCUUAACCCUGGGCCUGCAGUGGAUACGGGCAGACUAGAGGUAGGUAGGGGAGAAUGGAAUUCCCGGGUGGAUAGGCGGUGAAAUGCGCAGAUAAUCGGGAGGAACACCGGUGGCGAAGGCGGUCUGCUGGGGUCGAACU
rnacentral:rRNA from 1 species